GACGAACGCUGGCGGCGUGCCUAAUACAUGCAAGUCGAACGAACUCUGGUAUUGAUUGGUGCUUGCAUCAUGAUUUACAUUUGAGUGAGUGGCGAACUGGUGAGUAACACGUGGGAAACCUGCCCAGAAGCGGGGGAUAACACCUGGAAACAGAUGCUAAUACCGCAUAACAACUUGGACCGCAUGGUCCGAGCUUGAAAGAUGGCUUCGGCUAUCACUUUUGGAUGGUCCCGCGGCGUAUUAGCUAGAUGGUGGGGUAACGGCUCACCAUGGCAAUGAUACGUAGCCGACCUGAGAGGGUAAUCGGCCACAUUGGGACUGAGACACGGCCCAAACUCCUACGGGAGGCAGCAGUAGGGAAUCUUCCACAAUGGACGAAAGUCUGAUGGAGCAACGCCGCGUGAGUGAAGAAGGGUUUCGGCUCGUAAAACUCUGUUGUUAAAGAAGAACAUAUCUGAGAGUAACUGUUCAGGUAUUGACGGUAUUUAACCAGAAAGCCACGGCUAACUACGUGCCAGCCGCCGCCGUAACAC
rnacentral:rRNA from 1 species